rnacentral:lncRNA from 1 species
UUGGAUUGUGAGCCCGGAAAACAAUCCAACUGUAAUCCGCGGGAUUAUAGUGAAUUCCCAAGGGGUCGCUUAGGGAGUGGACGUAGGUGCUAAGGAGAGCACCGAACCACUAUACUUCUUGUUGUUUGUAUUGUGAUUUGUUUAAGUUUACUAACUCAUCAUUUAACACAAGUAAGAUAGUUAAAAGUAAAAGAAACCAAUUCACCCCCCUCUCUUGGCUUAUCACCUUGGGCAACAAAUUUCUUUAUCAUUCUUUGCUUUUUUCACUUACAACUUCCAAGUAUAAAACUUUUAAGGACUGUUCCCCAAUUGCAUGAGUUUCAGCUGCAUAAUCUAUAAAUUUUGCUAUCAAGGCUUCCUAUCAGACUCCUUUUUUGUCUUACACUGCAGUUGCUUGGGAUUUAGUUCUACGCACAGACAAUCAACAUUAGGUUGAGAACCAGUCGCAAAACAAACCCAAAUGGU